AAAAAGAUAAAUCCUGGGUUUCCGUGUCCAACGUUUGACUGUUCGUCUUAUAUGAAAUUUUUUUAUAAUUAGUAUUUUCAUUGUUGUUAGAUGAUAAAACAUGAUUAAUAUUUUAUGCGUGACUUAUCUUUUUAAUUUUUUUCAUAAUUUUUUUAAAUAAGACGAACGGUCAAAUAUUGGAUACGGAAACUCAG
rnacentral:pre_miRNA from 1 species